UGCAAGUCGAGCGGAGACAGUGAGUAGCUUGCUAUGAGCUGUUUUAGCGGCGGACGGGUGAGUAACGCGUGAGCAACCUUUCCCAGACAGGGGAAUAACACACCGAAAGGUGUACUAAUACCGCAUAAGACCACGGGAUCACAUGGUUCUGAGGUAAAAGAUUUAUCGGUUUGGGGUGGGCUCGCGUCCGAUUAGGUAGUUGGUGAGGUAACGGCCCACCAAGCCGACGAUCGGUAGCCGACCUGAGAGGGUGAUCGGCCACAUUGGGACUGAGACACGGCCCAAACUCCUACGGGAGGCAGCAGUGGGGAAUAUUGGGCAAUGGAGGAAACUCUGACCCAGCAACGCCGCGUGGAGGAAGAAGGUUUUCGGAUCGUAAACUCCUGUCCUUGGAGACGAGUAGAAGACGGUAUCCAAGGAGGAAGCCCCGGCUAACUACGUGCCAGCAGCCGCGGUAAUACGUAGGGGGCAAGCGUUGUCCGGAAUAAUUGGGCGUAAAGGGCGCGUAGGCGGCUCGGUAAGUCUGGAGUGAAAGUCCUGCUUUUAAGGUGGGAAUUGCUUUGGAUACUGUCGGGCUUGAGUGCAGGAGAGGUUAGUGGAAUUCCCAGUGUAGCGGUGAAAUGCGUAGAGAUUGGGAGGAGCACCAGUGGCGAAGGCGACUAACUGGACUGUAACUGACGCUGAGGCGCGAA
rnacentral:rRNA from 1 species